rnacentral:rRNA from 1 species
GACGAACGCUGGCGGCGUGCUUAACACAUGCAAGUCGAACGGAAAGGCCCUGCUUGCCGGGUACUCGAGUGGCGAACGGGUGAGUAACACGUGGGUGAUCUGCCCUGCACUUCGGGAUAAGCCUGGGAAACUGGGUCUAAUACCGGAUAGGAGCCAUUUUUAGUGUGAUGGUUGGAAAGUUUUUUCGGUGUAGGAUGAGCUCGCGGCCUAUCAGCUUGUUGGUGGGGUAAUGGCCUACCAAGGCGGCGACGGGUAGCCGGCCUGAGAGGGUGGACGGCCACAUUGGGACUGAGAUACGGCCCAGACUCCUACGGGAGGCAGCAGUGGGGAAUAUUGCACAAUGGGCGCAAGCCUGAUGCAGCGACGCCGCGUGGGGGAGGACGGCCUUCGGGUUGUAAACUCCGUUCGCUAGGGACGAAGCUUUUUGUGACGGUACCUAGAUAAGAAGCACCGGCUAACUACGUG